CUUGGCUUCCCGCAGGAAGAAAUCAAGUGCAAGCCACAGUUGAGUAAAGUAGAUUUAUUUAGAGAGAUACAUACUGUAUAGAAUGUAAGGCAAGAUAAAGGUAAGGAAAGAGGUGUGGCAAUUGGGUGCUCAGGUUAAAGUAAAAGUAGGUACACACUCCAUAGACAGAGUGCAGGCCGUCUCCA